CAGGGCGGACGCGGAUUGGGUUGAAAGGAAAGUCGAGGCGCUUGUUCGUUAGACCAGGUUUCAGGAGUUCUUUAUCACUAAUUUUCUGAGUAUGCAAAGACCAGCCAUGUUAGGGUGAAACCUAUGCAAUACAGGUUUGAUAUGUACGGCCAUGCUCGAGUUUCCAUCUGCCAGAGAGUGUCAUCUAUUGGAGCCCAGGAAGAGAGCUUUUUCUGUCAUGGAUACCAUCCUGUGGAAUAUAUUCCCCUGAAGAUCAGAUUAGUCCCACCCCUACUGGCUUUUCUCAAGGCCUUAAAAACAUGGUUUUGUCAAUGAGUUUGAUAACAUAGGAAUAUGGUAGAACCAGUGUAGUGGCUACAUUGACUAUUAUUUUUGGAGAUGAUUACCUCAACUAUUAAUUUUAUGUUAUGAUUUAUAUGGUUCGACAUUGUUUUUAUUGUUUUUACUAAUAUUGGUCUGCAGUUUUUAUACCACUUUUUAAUUGUUUAUGAACCAGCCAGUGUCUUGUAUGGAAAUGGACAGCUAUAGAAAUUUGAUUAAUAAACAUAUAUUUUAGGGCAAUCA